rnacentral:rRNA from 1 species
AGAGUUUGAUCCUGGCUCAGGAUGAACGCUAGCGACAGGCUUAACACAUGCAAGUCGAGGGGCAGCAUGAUUUGUAGCAAUACAGAUUGAUGGCGACCGGCGCACGGGUGAGUAACGCGUAUGCAACUUACCUAUCAGAGGGGGAUAGCCCGGCGAAAGUCGGAUUAAUACCCCAUAAAACAGGGGUCCCGCAUGGGAAUAUUUGUUAAAGAUUCAUCGCUGAUAGAUAGGCAUGCGUUCCAUUAGGCAGUUGGCGGGGUAACGGCCCACCAAACCGACGAUGGAUAGGGGUUCUGAGAGGAAGGUCCCCCACAUUGGUACUGAGACACGGACCAAACUCCUACGGGAGGCAGCAGUGAGGAAUAUUGGUCAAUGGCCGAGAGGCUGAACCAGCCAAGUCGCGUGAAGGAAGAAGGAUCUAUGGUUUGUAAACUUCUUUUAUAGGGGAAUAAAGUGGAGGACGUGUCCUUUUUUGUAUGUACCCUAUGAAUAAGCAUCGGCUAACUCCGUGCCAGCAGCCGCGGUAAUACGGAGGAUGCGAGCGUUAUCCGGAUUUAUUGGGUUUAAAGGGAGCGCAGACGGGUCGUUAAGUCAGCUGUGAAAGUUUGGGGCUCAACCUUAAAAUUGCAGUUGAUACUGGCGUCCUUGAGUGCGGUUGAGGUGUGCGGAAUUCGUGGUGUAGCGGUGAAAUGCUUAGAUAUCACGAAGAACUCCGAUUGCGAAGGCAGCACACUAAUCCGUAACUGACGUUCAUGCUCGAAAGUGUGGGUAUCAAACAGGAUUAGAUACCCUGGUAGUCCACACGGUAAACGAUGGAUACUCGCUGUUGGCGAUAUACUGUCAGCGGCUUAGCGAAAGCGUUAAGUAUCCCACCUGGGGAGUACGCCGGCAACGGUGAAACUCAAAGGAAUUGACGGGGGCCCGCACAAGCGGAGGAACAUGU